rnacentral:rRNA from 1 species
UACGUAGGGUGCGAGCGUUGUCCGGAAUUAUUGGGCGUAAAGGGCUCGUAGGCGGUCUGUCACGUCGAAAGUGAAAACUCAGGGCUUAACCCUGAGCCUGCUUCUGAUACGGGCAGACUAGAGGUAUGCAGGGGAGAACGGAAUUCCUGGUGUAGCGGUGAAAUGCGCAGAUAUCAGGAGGAACACCGGUGGCGAAGGCGGGUCUCUGGGAAGUAACUGACGCUGAGAAGCGAAAGCAUGGGUAGCAAACAGG